rnacentral:tRNA from 1 species
GGGAUUGUGGCUCAGUGGUAGAGCACUUGCCUAGCAUGUGUGAGGCACUGGGUUCAAUUCUCAGCAAAUCAU